rnacentral:SRP_RNA from 1 species
GGUCUUACGCAAUGGGAAUCCACGAACCGUGUCAGGUUGGGAACAAAGCAGCACUAAGAGGAACCUCCUAUGUGCCGUAAGGAUGCCG